rnacentral:rRNA from 1 species
GAUGAACGCUGACAGAAUGCUUAACACAUGCAAGUCUUUGGCGAAGCUGUGCUUGCACAGCCUAGCCAAGGCGGACGGGUGAGUAACGCGUAAGGAACUUGCCCUGCAGUCAGGGAUAACAGACGGAAACGACUGAUAAGACCUGGUAAAGUCAGGCGGACUCAUGUCCAGCCUGAUGAUAAGAGAUGCUGCAGGAGAGCCUUGCGUCCUAUUAGCUUGUUGGUGGGGUAACGGCCCACCAAGGCGACGAUAGGUAGCCGGCCUGAGAGGGUGGACGGCCACAAGGGGACUGAGAUACGGCCCUUACUCCUACGGGAGGCAGCAGUGGGGAAUAUUGGACAAUGGGGGCAACCCUGAUCCAGCAAUUCUGUGUGCACGAUGAAGGUUUUCGGAUUGUAAAGUGCUUUCAGCAGGGAAGAAAAAAAUGACGGUACCUGCAGAAGAAGCGACGGCUAAAUACGUG